rnacentral:rRNA from 1 species
UACGGGGGGAGCAAGCGUUGUUCGGAUUUACUGGGCGUAAAGGGCGCGUAGGCGGUCGUGACAAGUCACUUGUGAAAUCUCCGGGCUUAACUCGGAACGGUCAAGUGAUACUGUCGGACUAGAGUACAGAAGGGGCAACUGGAAUUCUCGGUGUGGCGGUGAAAUGCGUAGAUAUCGAGAGGAACACCUGCGGCGAAGGCGGGUUGCUGGGCUGACACUGACGCUGAAGCGCGAAAGCUAGGGGAGCGAACGGG